rnacentral:rRNA from 1 species
AGAGUUUGAUCCUGGCUCAGGAUGAACGCUAGCGGGAGGCCUAACACAUGCAAGUCGAACGGGAUUGAGAGCUUGCUCUCAUGAGAGUGGCGCACGGGUGAGUAACGCGUAUGCAACCUGCCUUUAACUGAGGGAUAGCCCAUAGAAAUGUGGAUUAAUACCUCAUAGUUCUUUUGGUCUGCAUGGGCUGAAAGGUAAAGCUCCGGCGGUUAAAGAUGGGCAUGCGUGACAUUAGCUAGUUGGUGAGGUAACGGCUCACCAAGGCGACGAUGUCUAGGGGUUCUGAGAGGAUGAUCCCCCACACUGGUACUGAGACACGGACCAGACUCCUACGGGAGGCAGCAGUGAGGAAUAUUGGUCAAUGGGCGCAAGCCUGAACCAGCCAUCCCGCGUGCAGGAUGACGGCCCUAUGGGUUGUAAACUGCUUUUGUACAGGAAGAAAAAUCCCUACGAGUAGGGACC